UAUAUCGGCGGAUGAAUAUUAGCGCCGGCGCGGGUUACUACGCUGGAUUUUUCAGCAGUAUUUUCUUUUAGGAACGAGUAGUUUAGCUCGCAUCUGCGAACCACUUUUAUAAGCCCGUCGGCCAAUCUUAAUCUGCCCCCAAUCUUGCGGGAGUCAAAAAAGCAGAUACACACAUACACAUCAAGUGGCUAUUCUUUAGCUGAUUGUAAAAAUUUAAUAAAUUAUUUAAAAUUCCUUAAUUAAAGCGACGACAAUUUUCAACAUGAUUUCGACGUCUCUUUUGAAACAAUGUGUGCGUCGGUAUUGUCUCGGUGCGCGACAAACUUUAGCAGUUCGGGAUCGAAUUCGCGACAAGAGGGAGCAAGGCCAACCUGGGCGGUGGGGUCAAGAGGAUAGAAACACAGCAUAAAAAGGGAAAACUCACUGCUCGAGAACGUGCCCAUGUUCUCUGUGACCCUGCAACGUUUACAGAAUUUGACAUGUUCAUGAACACACUUGUGCAGAUUGGAGAAAUAAUAGUAUCCGGGCGAUUCCAUCGUGAUGGGGAAAGGGCUCAUCAACGGAAGGAUGACCUACAUCUUUAGCCAAGAUUUCACCGUUUUUGACGCACACGACCCUGUCCUGAGUGGCGUAUAAAGCCUUCGAAAAUGAUAUCGAUGCUCUUCUCAAUAUACGAGACCUGAUGUCCUUCCUCCCCUCGUCCAACCGUGAAGGCGCACCCAUCAUUGAAGCCGUGGAUCCUUGGGAUCGCGACGUUCCCAUUCUCGAUGGCGUCGUCCCACUCGAAUCGACACAAGCUUACGACAUGGGCGACGUCAUCCUCGGCGUGGUCGACGAUCGCGAAUUUUUCGAAAUUAUGCCCGCCUACGCCAAAAAUAUUAAGAUUGGGUUCGGCAGGAUGAACGGAAGGACGGUCGGGAUUGUCGGGAAUCAGACUAAAGUGGCAGCAGGCGUACGAUGGUGCUUACGACGUCAUGUCAUCCAAACAUUUACGCGGCGAUGUCAACUACGCCUGGCCGACGGCCGAAGUUGCCGUGAUAUCAUCGAGCCGAGAGCCACACGGAGGAGAAUUUGUCAAGAUUUGGAUGCUCUAGCCAACAAAAAAUUGACUAAUCCGUGGAAAAAAACAUGGAAAUAUUCUAUUGUAAAAUAUUUAGGAUAGAAUAAAUUCAUGACAAAUUUUAUUUUGGUUAUGAAAUAUUCUAUAGGAAAAAUUGAAU